rnacentral:rRNA from 1 species
CCUACGGGAGGCAGCAGUAGGGAAUCUUCCGCAAUGGGCGAAAGCCUGACGGAGCAAUGCCGCGUGAGUGAAGAAGGCCUUCGGGUCGUAAAGCUCUGUUAUAAGAGAAGAACAAAUUGUAGAGUAACUGCUACAGUCUUGACGGUAUCUUAUCAGAAAGCCACGGCUAACUACGUGCCAGCAGCCGCGGUAAU